AUCACAAAUCAUUGAAGAAAAAAGCUUCAGAGCACUGUCUAGUGGGUCUAGAUGACCCAACUCCCAACGUUAAAGUGCAUAGGAUAGAACAAGGGUUCAAUGUAUAAAUCUCAUUACUUUUUAUCUGAUUUGAUAUGACCCAGCAGAACAUUUUUGUGAGCUAUUUUCAAUUGUGUAUUACCUCAAUGAUUCCCCAAAUUUGUGUGUUGAAGGCCAUUCAGAAGGAUCUUCUGAGUAAUGCUUUGCCCCAGCCCCCCCCCCCCCCCCCCCCCCCCCCUCUGUACCUCUCUGUUCUUCUCUCUCUUCAUCAUCAGCUGAUCGUCUCUCUUUCUCUCUAUCAUCAUCGUCAUCUCAACCUUUCUCCUCAUUCUUUUCUGUUGGGAAUGACUUUUCAUGUAUGUCUGCACUUGUUUUCCUAAAAUAAGUGAACAGGUGGUCAGCAGAAGUUUAAACCAGAAUGAGCAUCUAGGUUUUUGGGACUCUAAUAAUGUAAUUAAUCCUAUCUGAAGUCAUCUCUGCUCUCUUUUCUAUCAGAUCCAUCUCCAAUCUCAUGUCUGUCUCCUUCACCUCUUUUCUGUGUUCUUUUCCACUAAAUCAUAAUAAGGCCAAGCAACAAUUAUUUCAUGUUUUAAAUAAAUUAAACUUCUUGCUAAUGCAUGUUUUUUUUUUAAAUUAAGGAUACUAUUUAAAAAUGACUGACCUGGAAUGAUCUGGCUUUGCCCUGAACGUCCACCAUCAGACCAGCCUGUUUCUUUCCUCCAUCUGUCCUGAUUCUUUUUAUCUUCUUGUCUUUCUCUCCAUCCUCACAGCUGUUUGAUAUUAACUUUGUGUUAGGAAGAAUAGAGUGACUAAACUAUUUGUAAGAAUUGAAACAUUUUUAAUUUGAAAUUAUAUUUUUAUUGGAUAUCACUCAGUGGUAGGAUAGUGCAUGGCAAGCUAGGCGAGGCAGACCCAGGCGCUGGAACCCGGAACGAAAACACAAGGUGAGCAAGUUGGUAAGUCAAGUUUUAAUGAUAUUCGGGGUUGCUUGAGAUCUUGAUAUGGCUGGAGAGCAGCGGGUGAAGUUGUUGGAAGUAGCUUUGAGGUAGUUAUGGCUCGUGGCGAGGCUGGAGGUUCUUGGUGUUCCGAGAGGUUCUGUGGCUCAGGUAAUCCGGUGACUCAGGUGUCCACUCAUGGUCAGAAUGUCCUGAAGGCGAGGCAAUACAAAAGUUAGACGUGAACAUGAACACUUGUACUAAACUAGACGAGAGACCAGGUUAUGCACCAUCAGGGGCAACGAACUGGUGAUGAAUGCUGGUUCUGGAUCUCCUUAAGUAGGUCUGGUCAGUGAUGAGGUGAGUGGAAACAGCUGGGAAUCAUCAGGAGCCAAGCAGAGAGGGGAGGGGGAGGAAAGCUGACAGAGGCACCAUGAUAGAUAGAAUAGAAUCGAUUUCUUUACUGUUGUCAAAGAUCUCCAAAUGUUCAACUAAAAUCCAAAAUGUCUUUUAGCCCAAGUGAUAUUAAAAGCAACAGGCUGUAAACUAAAUAGGCAUUCAAAAAAAAAGUUUUUUUUCAAACUUUUAACAUAAAAAGAAACAAAACACCAUCUAACCCACCAUCACAUACUUCUCCUUUCUGCCCAUAGGAGCAGCUUUUAUCAUUGUUUAGUUUUCUUACAGUCAAAGGAUAAAAAAAUUUCAGUCUUUUGGUACAUCUAGUUAAAGAAAUUAUUUAUGUCCAUCUGAAACAAAAUCAGUACAAACAAGCUCCUUUAUUUUCUCUCCAUGAUCAGUGAUACUGUAAAUCCUGCUAAGUACAGCUGCAAGACACUUGUGACCAUUUUACUAUAGUAGCUUUAGCCUGAAUGUUGUCAAGCCUUUUUUAACACUGCUAACAUAUCUGCUGUCUCUCAAGCAUUUAGAGAAGCUUUUCUUCAUUGACACCACAUCUUUGUCCCUUUUGUGUUUUCUGUUUUAAGCCCCAGAUUGUUUUUUCUUUUGCCUUCUUAUUUAAAGCGCACUGUCAUCAGAUGAUCGCACAAUUCAAACAGAAACAAUCAGACGCGUGCGUCUCCGAGAGAGCACGCUCCAGCACGUUCCACUGCGCUCUCUUUACAAGACCCGAGGGAGGGAGGAGCGGCUGCGGUGGGGGCACCCGAUCAGUGACGAUGUGCUUCUGUUAAUGAUCAUAUCAGGCCCAGUGCUUUUUUUGAAGAUGCAUUUUUGGCCAAAAAUACUGUGGUGACCUCCUUGGUGGACUGCAUUCAUGGGACAACAGAUUAGAUUAGAUUUGCUUUAUUGUCAUUGUGCAUAGUACAAUGAGAUUUAAGCAUCGCCAUCAGUGCAAGAACAGCAAGGAAGGAAAAUAUAAUAAAAAAACAUUGUAAUACAAUAAAAUCAAAUAAACAAACAGUAUAUACAAGUGUGAAAAUAUAAACUGUAAACUGUAAUGAAGAGUGCCGAAAUAAUUGUUCAAAAUUGCGUAUGAAAACUGUGUGUAAACAUGUCAAAAGUGCCAGAGGUGGUAAAGAGGUAGAGUGUUGACACUGUGGACAGAGAAGUAAACAGGAAUAUGGAUUUUAUCUGUGCAUUUGGGAAUUGAGGAUUGUUAUUGCCUUUGGAAAGAAGCUGUUUUUUAGUCCGUUCAUUUUGAUUCUGAUCCCUCUGUAGCGCCUCCCAGAGGGCAUCAGGUUGAACAGGUCUGAGCCGGGGUGUGAACUGUCCUUGAUGAUGUUAUGAGCCCUAGUGAUGCAGCGCGUGGAGCAGAUGUCCGUCAGGGUGGGGAGAGGGCACCCAAUGAUUUCCUGAGCCAUCUCUAUGACUCUCUGCAGUCUCUUUUUAUCCGCGGCCGUGACUUUGUUGGGAAAACCAUGACAGAACAUGUAAUGUUAUUUUAAUUUCUUCUUCUUUGAGAAAAUAAACAUGCCUGCAUAUA